rnacentral:lncRNA from 1 species
AUGGGAGGAAAUGGUUGAAGAUGUAAGAUGUCCGCUCUAAAGUAGUCGCUGAAGCUGAUGUCGUGUUAAGUGGUGAAGACCAUGUGGAGUCAAUGUGUUGAGUUGGAGUCGUGUAGACUUAGAGAGCAAGAGAGUAUCUUGGAGAUAAGGAAAGAUGAAUAAACUUGAGUAGCAAGUUUAUGACUUAAAGGAAGAGGAAUACGUGCAUUACAAGAAAAUGAAAGUUGCACUUGAUGUUAUGGAAGAUGUCCAUAUCCAUGUUGCCUUGGAGACUAGGGUUUUAGGAACGUGGAAAAUAAUAUAUGAUAGCUAUGGGUUGUCUGUAGAGAGACAGAGACACAUAGGCUAAUCUUAUAGAGAGAGAGAGAGAGAGAGUUCUUGGAAGUGUUCUUGAGUCGUGUUGAAGCAGUGGUUGAAGUAUUUGACGGAAGAGAGACAUAAGCGGGUAGCUUCCGAAUCUUUCAGUAGUGUGUGUUAGUGUGUUAACACUAGACGUGUAAAGCUGAAUAAACAAAGUCUUGUAAAGAUUGUUUAAAGGGGAUUCUAAUAAAGCAUUGGUGUUUGCUUGUAUUGUUUUGUCUCUUGAUUAAUUUUCUGCGGUACUAUUGUAGUGUCAUCUUGCACAUACAAUGGUGUUUCCUAGCUUCUUGAGGCGAGAUUUCAGUGGAGCAGUUUUGGUUCAAGGAAGAAACUCGCCACGUGAAAUGUAUUUACAUCGAUUCCACUGCAAAAAAAAAAAAACCUUAAUGCUGCGACCAUUUU